ACAAUUGUCUCAUUGAUUCGUGGU
rnacentral:siRNA from 1 species